rnacentral:rRNA from 1 species
UACGUAGGUGGCAAGCGUUGUCCGGAUUUACUGGGCGUAAAGAGCGCGCAGGCGGUCGUCCAAGUCGCGUGUGAAAGCCCCCGGCUCAACUGGGGAGGGUCACGCGAUACUGGUCGACUCGAGGGCAGGAGAGGGUAGUGGAAUUCCCGGUGUAGUGGUGAAAUGCGUAGAUAUCUGGAGGAACACCGGUGGCGAAGGCGGCAUCCUGGACCAAUUCUGACGCUGAGUGAGCGAAAGCCAGGGGAGCAAACGGG